GUGGUCAAUAAAUGUAACGACGCGAGGAGACGGUGGCGGGUCUGGAAUACAAGAUGUCUGCCGGGGGUGGAGGGGGGCAAAGAGGAAGUCCGAGGGGGCGGGCAAAAGCACUGGAUGACUGUUACUACGAGAAAGACAGACCACUUACUAAACAUGCAGGAGGAAAGCAUUUAGAGAGAACUGGGGGCACCAUUCCUAGAAGACUGCGUGAACAGGCCCCAUGAGGACGUAGGGAGACCUCCUUGUUUACAGUUGAAAGCUGCUGGCCACGAUAAACCUCGCGGGUGAAGGUUUCCACAGAAGGGGUUUUUACAGAACCCCUAGGAGAUCCACAUGUUCAUUUCCAUUUAGAGAAGCAUGAACUUUAAAGUUAAGCAACUGGCACAAAGUCUCCAGAAGGUAAACGCAGAAAGUGUCGAUCUGCGGGAAGAGCCCAAGGAGGGAAAUCGCAGGGAAGCAAUAUAAAAAUACUGGAAGUGAACAGACAAAGUUGACGGUAAGUGUGCGGCCAAUGGUCACCAGGUCCCCGAGGCAAUCCCGCCUGCUCCCGUUCCAGCACCCGGCCCGCCCUGCCCGCGUCCUGGAGGCAACACUGGACUCCUUGCACCCAUAGAAGGAAGGUCUGCAGGCCGAGUGGACACAUGCCUGCAGAAGUAACAAGGGGCCGUGUCCGGGGAAGAGGCCUAGACGAGGACCCAGGAGAUACCUCAGGUGGUGAGGGAGGCAGUGGACCAGUCCACAGUUUGCAAGAGCAGCUUUGCCUGUGGGGGGCAUGAGAAUGGGAGGAAGAAUCUGGGAAACUCCAGAAAUAGGCAAACCUAAAGGGUGGUAGGUGGGCGGGUCCCUCCCUGCAUGGGGGCAGGGGGUGCAAACAUCGGAGCUGGGGGCUCCUCACUUUGUGCCUCUGUCCCCUGGUGCACUUGACGUGCUGAGCAUCACCACAUCUAAAUGCCAACCACAGAUUCGAGUUCAGUGGGAACUCCAGGUUCGCAGAGGAACAAGGGAGGGUGGUGAUUAAGACACCACCACAGGUGAUGGUGGGGCACUGAAGGGACUGACUCCCCGGACACUGGAGCAUCUGGGACAUGAAGGUAGCCCUGCCUGGCCAGAGGACCGUGUUCCGUCCCAAAAUUGUAACAGUGCAGCUGGAUAAAACAUCCACAUGCCAGGACUCCACCUGUCCCCCAGAUCAUUUGUUAGAGGAAAUAAGACGUACCAGAGCUGCGUUUCACAGCUACUUCCCUAUUAUCCUCUCUUGCUCAAGUCUUUGUAAGUUGGCUUUCAUAGAAACACAGAAUCUCCCAUUCCUUCUGCUAUAAUACAUCUGUCUUCUGUCUCAGUUUAUUGAGUAGCAUGUCAAUGUAGUUCGAUACUGGUAAGCCUUAAUAAAACUAAGGAAAUUUGAUUUGAA